rnacentral:rRNA from 1 species
GGGUCAGUAGGUUGGUCGUGCCACCGGUACGUACUGGUCUCACUGAUUCCUCCUUCCUGAAGAACCGUAAUACCAUUAAUUUGGUGUUGCGGGGAAACAGGACUGUUACUUUGAAAAAAUUAGAGUGUUUGAAGCAAGCUAACGCUUGAAUACAUUAGCAUGGAAUAAUGAAAUAGGACGAUCGAUCCUAUUUUGUUGGUUUCUAGGAUUGGCGUA